AAUCAACGCUGGCGGCGUGCCUCAGACAUGCAAGUCGAACGCGAAAGUUCCCUUCGGGGAGCGAGUAGAGUGGCGUACGGGUGAGUAACACGUAGGUAAUCUACCUUUGGGUGGGGAAUAACAGCCGGAAACGGCUGCUAAUACCGCAUAAUGCAGCGGCUCGACAUCGAGACAGUUGUUAAAGACGGGGGAGUCGCAAGACCUCGCGCCUAAAGAGGAGCCUGCGGCGGAUUAGCUAGUUGGUGAGGUAAUGGCUCACCAACGGCAUCGAUCCGUAGCCGGGCCUGAGAGGGCGGUCGGCCACACUGACACUGACAUACGGGUCAGACUCCUACGGGAGGCAGCAGUCGGGAAUUUUGGGUCAAUGGGCGAAAGACCUGACCCACGCAACGACCGCCGUGGGUGGAAGG
rnacentral:rRNA from 1 species